GCCAAGGGAAAACUGGAAAUAAAUUAGAAGUGUCACUGAUUUGAGAACUCUAGUUCUUUCCUGCGUGCCUACAGAAAUUAAGGAGCGUCUCUUUUCUGGGUUACAGGCUUUGGUGAGAAAUCCGGAAGAAAGAAUGUGUGAAAGAAAAAGAUGACAACUAUGCAUGGCAAACAAAAUCCAAAGAUUAUUACAGUGAAAGCAAGAGGAAGUCAGAAGAAUACCUACUAGUAAAGAUAUUGCCCAGGUGUCUGAAUGCCUGCACUGGGGUACCUCCUUUUCUGAUGGACUGGAUUCCCCUGCCAGCUGAUUCUUCUUUGCCGCCAGUUCACACUGUGUCAUUUUCAGCUUCCUAAGAUGGGAAAGACAUAUACACAGUCCAGGAGCCAAGGUCCACAAAUUCUGCCUUUUUACCUCCCAGCACUCUUGAAGGCCUAGAUACAAAUACCUUUCCCCCACCUCUCCCAUAAAUGCACAGACUGACAACACAGUCAGAGAAAUGAACUGAACACCCCAUUUAAGUUAAAGAAAAUUCAACCUCUGUCUGCUGCCAUGUCUCUGCUGUCAGACCUGUUUCCUCUCCUUCAUCAUAAAGUCAUCAAAUAAUAUUGCACUUUGUGCCUUCCCAGAGCUGAACUUUGGUUUGAGAUGGUGAAGGCUCAUUUCAGUUCAGUGUCAAAAACCUUGUCUGACCACCCAUACCCAUUAGGAUGAAGCAAGGGAUCAUCACUAGUCUCACACCUCCGUGGGGAGCCCUGAUUCUCAGUCCAGAAGUUGUACCCUGACAAAGACAAUCACCCUAAAAGACGACCUUCCAGGAUAUGGCUUCCCCAACAUUGCAGCUCACUCCCAGACAUUGCUAGAGUCAGGAGUACAACCCCUGCGUCCACCUUCACAUAUCCUGGUGGAGGAAAAGGCCAAUCUUAGAGCAGCAACAUCACCUGAGGUAGAACCUGAUAUGAACUGUCACACAGUCUGGGUUUAUCUCCAGGAAACAGAUUUCAGAUGGAAAACUAUCAACUUCAUGGAGCCAAUGUACUUGAAGAAGACUCAGUUCGUUGACAGUGAAGGCAGCAAAGGGAAAUGCUUAGAAAGGCUGGUUUGCUGUGUUGCCCUCAGACUAUUUUGUUCAUGGUGUUACUUUAAAGGGUUUCAACUUGGUACUGGAUGUAUUCAAGAGUCACAUGCAAAAUUGAAAGACUCCUAGAAACGGACACAAAACCUCUAGACAGAGAAAGGCACAUGCAUUUCCUUCCGGCAUCUCAGGCAGUCCUUCAACAAAUGCUUUCUGGAGUGGCUGGAAUGUAGUGGUUCUGUUGUAAGGGAUUGAAAAUAGAAAGGUGGCCAGGGUGCUGUACGUGCUCUCCAAAAGAGCUUAGAAAUGAUAAAAACAAGAUGCCAGUGAGACAGAGCAGGCUCCACCCCAGGUGUGGGAAGGACUAACAGAAGCUGAGUCUCCAGGGAAGAGAAGGAAGUAUUUCCUUUUCAAUGUGAAUGAGGGACUCUAAAGGCCCUGAUCUCCUCCUGAGAACAAAAGGAAAUACUGUACAAAGGAGGAAACAUGUGAGCGAAUGCACCAAAUUUCUAAUGACCCCAUGAAGACACAUGUGACCAAGAUGGAGAAGAAGGAAGCCCAGGACAAAGCCAGCCUGGCAGUGGGAACCAAUCUCCCCAGGACUCAUCAAUGAACUUGGGGAUAGAAAACUGAACUGCAAAAUAGCUGAACAACUUUAUGGGCACAGACUUAGAAGGAAACGUGUUUAGUUCAGAGGCAGCCAGCAAAGAUGAGCCCUAGUGAAGCUGCGGGCUUUGGUCAAGACUCAGAGGAGUUACACUUCAAAAAUCAGGGGACAGGAAAUAACUCAGCUUCCUUAGGGAUUGGCCUGCUGUGAACAAUCUCACUAGCAGAACUGAUGCAGGGAUCCAGUACUACUGGCACCCCUACCCACUUUCCAGAAAUAAAUUUCUAUUAUUUCUGCAGCAAGAUCAUUGAUUUUUUCCCUACACAUUCUUGACCCAUGUGUGGUCCUGAACAAAAAUGACCUAAUUCCUGGAUGACAAGACAACGUGAUGGGACUGAAUCCCAAGCAGAUGCAGAUAUCAAUGUUAUUAAUGCUGACACCUUCCCUCUUCCACCCCAAAUACAUGACACAAUAUGUGACAAGCACUUAGGACAGAAAGGAAAAUGCGGGUGACAGAAAGCCAGAAAGCUCUUCUGAAAUACUACAUGGAGUUGGCUGUCUGCUGAAUUCAUACAGAGUUAUGGCACCUCAGGUGCCAUGAUUUUUUCCAGACUGCUACAAACAAAAUAAAAGCCACCGAAUGAGAAAAAGAAUAAAACACGGCUAGAGCUAAAGCACAAGCAACAACAGAAAUAACAGUUGAUGUUUAAAAAAAGAGCAAAAAGAGCUCUGCAGACCUCAGUUCUCCUGAUAAAUUCUAGCUCAUCAAAUCUAGGCAUGACCCGGUUUUGACACCAUUAACAUAUUUCCCCAUUCUAAAGUUUGAAAGGACGAUGAGAGGCCGAGGCCAGCCCUAAACUCUUGCCAGGAUAUUAGAAUAUCAUCAUGCUAUCAAAAAGCCACUUAGGAACCUCUGAGCUUCCCUGUCCCUUGUCACCCAGCCCCACAGGCGGGUAAGUGAAAAGGAAUAUGAACACACCAAAUACUCAAUAUUUGUGUUUCUGUGUGAAGGCAAGUUUUCUCCAGUGGCAGGGAGAGGGGCAAAUACUCAUUUAGAAAUAAAUUCCAAAGUACUCUGUUCUUCCAGAAAAGAUCUGCCCUCAAGAGGAACGAAGAGCCUAACUGGGGAUUUCCCAAAGAGUAAGCAAUACAGGUGAGGGAAAAUACUCAACUCCAGGGCUCUCACCUUCCUGUCUCACCUGGGAGUCAAUUCAGACUAACCCCUAGCCAGAUAAAUAUAAAAACCUCACACUCAUGUCCUAUUUACCUCAGUUCCUUUACCAGCACAUAACAUUUGC